GACAGAGGGUGCAAACGUUGUUCGGAAUUACUGGGCGUAAAGCGCAUGUAGGCGGCAACGCAAGUCGGGCGUGAAAUCCCACGGCUCAACCGUGGAAGUGCACUCGAAGCUGCGUAGCUAGAGUCCUGGAGAGGAAGGUGGAAUGCUUGGUGUAGAGGUGAAAUUCGUAGAUAUCAAGCGGAACACCGGUGGCGAAGGCGGCCUUCUGGACCAAUACUGACGCUCAUGCACGAAAGCGUGGGGAGCAAACAGG
rnacentral:rRNA from 1 species